CCUGAUCCCAUGCCGAACUCAGAAGUGAAACGCCGUAGCGCCGAUGGUAGUGUGGGGUCUCCCCAUGCGAGAGUAGGACACUGCCAGGCA
rnacentral:rRNA from 1 species